AUAUCUCUCUGUACGGGAAGGAUGAGAAGCUUCGACUAAGGUUCGAUUCGAGCGUCAGCGAGAAAGCGUUGCCGCAGGCAACGACCCGAAGGGCGAAGCGCGCAGCG
rnacentral:sRNA from 3 species